rnacentral:misc_RNA from 1 species
GAUGAAGAACGCAGCGAAAUGCGAUAAGUAAUGUGAAUUGCAGAAUUCAGUGAAUCAUCGAAUCUUUGAACGCACAUUGCGCCCCCUGGUAUUCCGGGGGGCAUGCCUGUCCGAGCGUCAUUACAACCCUCAAGCUCAGCUUGGUAUUGGGCCCCGCCGCUCCGGCGGGCCCUAAAGUCAGUGGCGGUGCCGUCCGGCUCCGAGCGUAGUAAUUCUUCUCGCUCUGGAGGUCCGGUCGUGUGCUCGCCAGCAACCCCCAAUUUUUUUCAGGUUGACCUCGGAUCAGGUAGGGAUACCCGCUGAACUUAAGCAUAUCAAUAAGCGGAGGA